rnacentral:rRNA from 1 species
AGUGAACGCUGGCGGUAGGCCUAACACAUGCAAGUCGAACGGCAGCACAGUAAGAGCUUGCUCUUACGGGUGGCGAGUGGCGGACGGGUGAGGAAUACAUCGGAAUCUACUUUUUCGUGGGGGAUAACGUAGGGAAACUUACGCUAAUACCGCAUACGACCUACGGGUGAAAGCAGGGGAUAUUCGGACCUUGCGCGAUUGAAUGAGCCGAUGUCGGAUUAGCUAGUUGGCGGGGUAAAGGCACACCAAGGCGACGAUCCGUAGCUGGUCUGAGAGGAUGAUCAGCCACACUGGAACUGAGACACGGUCCAGACUCCUACGGGAGGCAGCAGUGGGGAAUAUUGGACAAUGGGCGCAAGCCUGAUCCAGCCAUACCGCGUGGGUGAAGAAGGCCUUCGGGUUGUAAAGCCCUUUUGUUGGGAAAGAAAAGCAGCAGGUGAAUACCCCGCUGUUCUGACGGUACCCAAAGAAUAAGCACCGGCUAACUUCGUG